rnacentral:rRNA from 1 species
UACGUAGGCAGCAAGCGUUGUUCGGAGUUACUGGGCGUAAAGAGUGUGUAGGCGGUUUUCUAAGUUCGGUGUGAAAUCUCCCGGCUCAACUGGGAGGGUGCAUCGAAAACUGGGAGGCUUGAGUGUGGGAGAGGAAAGCGGAAUUCCUGGUGUAGCGGUGAAAUGCGUAGAUAUCAGGAGGAACACCUGCUGUGUAGACGGCUUUCUGGACCAUGACUGACGCUGAGACACGAAAGCGUGGGUAGCAAACAGG